rnacentral:rRNA from 1 species
AUACGUAGGGGGCAAGCGUUAUCCGGAUUUACUGGGCGUAAAGGGCGUGUAGGCGGUCUUGCAAGUCAGAAGUGAAAUUCCUGAGCUCAACUCGGGCGCUGCUUCUGAAACUGCAGGACUUGAGUGCUGGAGGGGAUAGCGGAAUUCCUAGUGGAGCGGUAAAAUGCGCAGAUAUUAGGAAGAACACCGGUGGCGAAGGCGGCUAUCUGGAAAGUAACUGAAGCUGGGGCGCGAAAGGGUGGGGAGCAAACAGGAUUAGAUACCCGGGUAGUCCACGCCGUAAACGAUGAAUACUAGGUGUAGGGGGUAUCGACUCCCUCUGUGCCGCAGUUAACACAAUAAGUAUUCCGCCUGGGGAGUACGGCCGCAAGGUUGAAACUCAAAGGAAUUGACGGGG